CCUACGGGAGGCAGCAGUGGGGAAUUUUGGACAAUGGGCGAAAGCCUGAUCCAGCAAUGCCGCGUGAGUGAAGAAGGCCUUCGGGUUGUAAAGCUCUUUUGUCAGGGAAGAAACGGUGAAAGCUAAUAUCUUUUGCUAAUGACGGUACCUGAAGAAUAAGCACCGGCUAACUACGUGCCAGCAGCCGCGGUAAUACGUAGGGUGCAAGCGUUAAUCGGAAUUACUGGGCGUAAAGCGUGCGCAGGCGGUUUUGUAAGUCUGAUGUGAAAUCCCCGGGCUCAACCUGGGAAUUGCAUUGGAGACUGCAAGGCUAGAAUCUGGCAGAGGGGGGUAGAAUUCCACGUGUAGCAGUGAAAUGCGUAGAUAUGUGGAGGAACACCGAUGGCGAAGGCAGCCCCCUGGGUCAAGAUUGACGCUCAUGCACGAAAGCGUGGGGAGCAAACAGGAUUAGAUACCCUGGUAGUCCACGCCCUAAACGAUGUCUACUAGUUGUCGGGUCUUAAUUGACUUGGUAACGCAGCUACGCGUGAGUAGACCGCGUGGAGGUACGGUCGCGAGAAGUUAAACGUUAAAGUAGUAGUAGACGCGAGAGAGACGACGACGACGACGACGGAGGGAGGAGG
rnacentral:rRNA from 1 species